CAAAUGUGAAUGCAUAUCCAUAAGUCUAUUAAAAGUUGUUAGAUUUUAUUGAAUGCGAUUGUCUCCCUUCAACACCAUCUGAUAAGAAAAAUAUCAGAUAGAUUUCAUCAAGCCAAGGAGUGAUAGGAAACAGAAUGUUUGAGGAAAAAGAUUUGGGUAUCAACAAGGAAAGGUCUAUUAAAAUAUUCAAAUGAGCUUGAAGCACAUUCAGUUGGCGACCACUUAUUUCUCCAAUAGAUUCUUCGGUUUCAAAGAGAUUUGCAUUCUUCUGCCUUGCCAUCAGGACGCUUAGAUGUCAGACCCUAACAUGAAGAAUAUCCACAUUUUACAUUGCUAUUAUAUUUGUUCAGGCUGUAACAAUGUCUAACAAAGUAGUGAAACAACUUAUUUAGUUGCACACAAGUAAAAAAAUAAGUUGUGUUGUGUCAAAAAAGAGAAUUUAACCCGAACACAUGAGAACUCCUCUACGUUAUAACCCCUCCUAGGGCGUAAUCACAAUUAACCUGGUAAUGCAAUCCUGUCUAUACACAAAGUAUGUGGACACCCCUUCAAAUUUGUGGAGUCGGCUAUUUCAGCCACACCCGUUGCUGUCAGAUAAGUAAAAGUGUUGUUUUUUUACAAGCACACAGCCAGGCAAUCUCCAUAGCCAGACAUUGGCAGUGGAAUAGCCUCACUGAAGAGCUCAGUUACUUUCAACAUGGCACCGUCAUAGAAUGCCACCUAUCCAACAAGUCAGUUCAUGUAAGUGCUGUUAUUGCAAAGUGGAAAUGUCUAGGAGCAACAACAGCUCAAGCGCGUAAAAUUAUAUAGUCGGUCUUCGGUUACAACACUCACUACCAAACUGCCUCUAGACGCAACAUCUGCAGAAGAACUGUUCGACGGGAGCUUCAUGAAAUGGGUUUCCAUGGACGAGCAGCCACACAUAAGCCUAAGAUCACCAUGCGCAAUGCCAAACUCGGCUGGAGUGGUAUAAAGCUCGCCACCAUUGGACUCUGGAGCAGGGGAAACGCAUUUUCUGGAGUGCUGAAUCACCAUGUCAGUCCAACAGACAAAUCUGCGUUUGGCAGAUGCCAGGAAAACACCACAAGCCCCAAUGCACAGUGCCAACUGUAAAGUUUGGUGGAGGAAUAAUGGGUUGUUUUACAUGUUUGGGCUAGACCCCUUAGUUCUAGAAGGGAAAUCUUUCCUCUACUGCAUACAAUGGUUGACCUUCUGGGCGAUUCUGUGGUUCCCACUUUCUGGUAAGUUUGGGGAAGGCCCAUUCCGGUUUCAGAAGGACAAUGCCCCUGUGCACAAGGCGAGCUCCAUUUAUUUGUAUUUUACCUUUAUUUAACUAGGCAAGUCAGUUAAGAACAAAUUCUUAUUUUCAAUGACGGCCUAGGAACAGUGGGUUAACUGCCUGUUCAGGGGCAGAACGACAGAUUUGUACCUUGUCAGCUCGGGGAUUUGAACUUGCAACCAUUCGGUUACUAGUCCAGCGCUCAAAACCACUAGGCUACCCUGCUGCCCCAUACAGAAAUGGUUUGUCAAGAUCGGUGUGGAAGAACUUAACUGGUUUGUUAAAUCACAAAAUUGUUAAUCAGAAACACAAGGCUCAAGGGAAAUUAGCAAACGGCAAUCUUAACAGAAACCGUUCUGAUCUAGAUUAACAGCUGAGGAACAUAAAACUACAGUAUGUGGCAGCACAGGUUUUGCAUAUAUAAUUACACUUGACAAUUUCAGAAGCCCUCAGAAAAUGCAUGCAAAAAAAAGUAACCUGAAGUCAAUUCUGAAGGUAACUGCUGAGAAAGAACAGGUUCCACACGUACAGACAUACUCUGGUAGCAGCUUCAGAGGGUGGUGUGUGUGUCUUUAUCCAGAUUACAGAAGUAGGUGAACACGUCGCCAUAGGUGUGAGAACUUGGAGAUGUUUUCUGUUGACUGGGUAGGAGAAAGACAGACUUCCACAGUCCAGCUGUACUCUGAUCCUCAUGCUUCACUGUGAAGGAUCCCUAAAGGACGACAGGCGAGACCGCUCUGACACCCACCAUGAUCUACACACAGAGAGAGAGAGCAGGGUUUAUAAAAAGUAUGACAGAGGUAAUUGAAUACCAAAGCUGGGUCAGCAAACAGCUGGUGAGGGCCAAAGACUGGAUACCAACUUUACAGAUACUGGUAAUAGAAUGUGGCAACUCGACAGUGCAUGACAGGAAAAUCUUCCCCUUGCAAACAAUGUCUGGUUACCGCAAAUGGCUUUUUCUUCCUGCUUCAAGAAAGGUGAGGGUACAUGUGGUUCCGUCACCGCCGUGGAAAGCAGGGUUCUCCGUAGAGAAUCUGUCCAAGGAACAUCGCACGUGAAACUCCUGAACCUCCAGAAGUCACGCCUUCGCUUCCUUAUUUUAAUUUAUGCAACCUUGUUUCGCCACAAGCAAUUGUCCUUGCAAGAGUAUAUCACAAGGUUGCAAAUUACUGUGCAUCUUUAGCAUGUUACACGACCAGCAAGACGGGCCCUGGGGUGUAAAUAUUAAUCUAAACUAAUAUUCAGGUCCCCCCCGUUUCGUCCCGAUUAAGACAUUUCUGGCAACAGAAUCGGCGUAAUGAAUACGCCCCAAUACUUACCUAUAGCUAGCUACCUACAUACUCACAAACAAACCCUAAACUUCCUCAUCAACUUGUGUUGUGAAAAUAUAUAAAGCCCCAUUUUCCUAGCAAUAAAACUAGUAUAGCGCUCCUCAUAAAAUUUUACAAACCCGUGUUGAAUGCAUGCAUGGCUC
ensembl:lncRNA